rnacentral:rRNA from 1 species
CAAUAGCGUAUAUUAAAGUUGUUGCAGUUAAAAAGCUCGUAGUUGGAUUUGUGGCGUACGGUGUGUUCCGGGCACUUGUUGUCUGAGUAACCUGCUGUUGCCAUCCUUGGGUGGAACCUGUGUGGCAUUAGGUUGUCGUGCAGGGGAUGCCCAUCAUUUACUGUGAAAAAAUUAGAGUGUUCAAAGCAGGCUUAUGCCGUUGAAUAUAUUAGCAUGGAAUAAUGAGAUAGGACUUUUUUGCUAUUUUGUUGGUUUGCGCAAAGAGGUAAUGAUUAAUAGGGACAGUUGGGGGUAUUCGUAUUCCAUUGUCAGAGGUGAAAUUCUUGGAUUUUUGAAAGACGAACUACUGCGAAAGCAUUUACCAAGGAUGUUUUCAUUAA